UCCGUAGGUGAACCUGCGGAAGGAUCAUUACAGAAUGAAAAGUGCUUAACUGCAUUUUUUCUUACACAUGUGUUUUUCUUUUUUUGAAAACUUUGCUUUGGUAGGCCUUCUAUAUGGGGCCUGCCAGAGAUUAAACUCAACCAAAUUUUAUUUAAUGUCAACCGAUUAUUUAAUAGUCAAAACUUUCAACAACGGAUCUCUUGGUUCUCGCAUCGAUGAAGAACGCAGCGAAAUGCGAUAAGUAAUAUGAAUUGCAGAUAUUCGUGAAUCAUCGAAUCUUUGAACGCACAUUGCGCCCUUUGGUAUUCCAAAGGGCAUGCCUGUUUGAGCGUCAUUUCUCCCUCAAACCCUCGGGUUUGGUGUUGAGCGAUACGCUGGGUUUGCUUGAAAGAAAGGCGGAGUAUAAACUAWUGGAUAGGUUUUUUCCACUCAUUGGUACAAACUCCAAAACUUCUUCCAAAUUCGACCUCAAAUCAGGUAGGACUACCMRYUGAACUUAAGCAUAUCAAUAAGCGGAGGAAAAG
rnacentral:rRNA from 1 species